rnacentral:rRNA from 1 species
GAUGAACGCUGGCGGCGUGCCUAAUACAUGCAAGUCGAGCGAACAGACGAGGAGCUUGCUCCUCUGACGUUAGCGGCGGACGGGUGAGUAACACGUGGAUAACCUACCUAUAAGACUGGGAUAACUUCGGGAAACCGGAGCUAAUACCGGAUAACAUGUUGAACCGCAUGGUUCAAUAGUGAAAGACGGUCUUGCUGUCACUUAUAGAUGGAUCCGCGCCGCAUUAGCUAGUUGGUAAGGUAACGGCUUACCAAGGCAACGAUGCGUAGCCGACCUGAGAGGGUGAUAGGCCACACUGGAACUGAGACACGGUCCAGACUCCUACGGGAGGCAGCAGUAGGGAAUCUUCCGCAAUGGGCGAAAGCCUGACGGAGCAACGCCGCGUGAGUGAAGAAGGUCUUCGGAUCGUAAAACUCUGUUAUUAGGGAAGAACAAAUGUGUAAGUAACUAUGCACGUCUUGACGGUACCUAAUCAGAAAGCCACGGCUAACUACGUG